rnacentral:rRNA from 1 species
GUAGGUGGCAAGCGUUGUCCGGAAUUAUUGGGCGUAAAGCGCGCGCAGGUGGUUCUUUAAGUCUGAUGUGAAAGCCCCCCGGGCUCAACCGGGGAGGGUCAUUGGAAACUGGGGAACUUGAGUGCAGGAGAGGAAAGUGGAAUUCCACGUGUAGCGGUGAAAUGCGUAGAUAUGUGGAGGAACACCAGUGGCGAAGGCGACUUUCUGGCCUGUAACUGACACUGAGGCGCAAAAGCGUGGGGAGCAAACAGGAUUAGAUACCCUGGUAGUCCACGCCGUAAACGAUGAGUGCUAAGUGUUGGGGGGUUUCCGCCCCUCAGUGCUGCAGCUAACGCAUUAAGCACUCCGCCUGGGGAGUACGGUCGCAAAGACUG